rnacentral:lncRNA from 1 species
UCAGAAUCUGGUAGAGCUCCUGGAGCAACCUGCAUGAUGUCACUGCUAUAGCACUAUGAUUUUCAUAUUACAUACUCUUGAGACACUUUCCAGAGUAUAUAUGGCUAUGUUAUAGCAUGCUUUGAGAACUAGAUUAAGUAAUUCCUGCAAGGCAAACCAAGUGAUGAUGAGCUCUCUCAGCUUCUGUUUGUCUGAUAAACUUUCUAUUCUCUCUCACUUCUGAAGGAAAGCUUUGCCAGGGUUUCAUUCAUUUUAAAGCUAACAGAAAAACAACAGAUUUUUAUAAUUAAGUUCCUGAGAAACCAUGAUAAAUACAGCAUUACACAUACUGUCGAUGAUAUUUUGGAUUUUGUAAGACACCAGAGAUCAAAACAUGCCAAAUUGGACUUCUUGUCAUUGUCUAUACAAACAAAACUCACAGACAUCAAAGCCACUAUGACCAUGCUGCUGAUGCAAGGACUGGUCAGAGUGGCCUUAUCUGAUGCUGGUGAUCUCUGGGAUUGUUUAUAUAUUGUUUGCAUUCAACAGAAGAACAACAUGGCCUCAAUGUGGGUGCCAGACCAGCUUUGGGUAUCUUUCCUUCAAAGGAUGACAUACAAUAAAAACAUAUAUGGGAUGAUUACUAUUUGCUUCCAAGAAAAAUAUUGAAGUUUGCUAUUUCUUCAUCUCAAGGUAUGAGAAAACAAAUGUUUGCAUCAGAGUGGUAAAAGAGCUAUAAUAAUUUCAAAUUAACUAAAUGUUCAAUGGCCCUUUCCUUCAGAAAAGUAAAUGCCUCUGAUUUUGUACAACUAUUCUUAAAGUCACACUUUUCUACUCCUUAGACCAUAUAGCAUUCACAGCAUUGUCUUAGGAAAAUAAUGAAUAUAACAGAAGGCUUGUGCAAAAUGUAAAAUAUGCCAUCUCUUUGAGGAAUUGUGACUUUAGCAGUGUAAUAUACUAAUAUUCCAAAAUUGUAGAGAUACUUUUAUUUUUGUAGUUUGUUUUUAAAUCCCUAACUCUUCCUUCUGUGUAUGGAAAAAUCUAAAAGCUGUGAUAAUGAAAUCAAUUUCAUCCAAUACAACAUGAUUUAUAAUGCCUUCUGUACUUUGUAUUAGUUGAGGACAAGGUCAUGAAUCAAUGUAGAUGAAGGUUUUAUUUAACUUAAGCAUCAGUGUUUUUCCUCUGUCAAAAUUUUACUUAUCAGGCUAAUAUUUGAAAAGCAUUCUAAACUUUUUUCUGUUUCUCAAAACUUUAGCUGGAAAUAUUACUUCCCUGUGUUUGGUUGAGCAGAGUAGUAGGCAGUUCUUUGUUACUUAAUACUGUUUUAACAUUUCCUUCACUGCAAUCCCUCUAUUUUAAUAGCUUUAACAAAGGUCACAUUCAGAUUAGCUCAAAUCUAUUAGAGUACACUAUAAUAUGUUGGUUUUUCAUUGAAAAUUUAUUUAGACAUCCAUCUAGGAUUUUAGACCUUCAACCCAAGGAAAAUUUAUAUGAAUACAAUAUUUUUUGCCAUUAUUUACAAAAGUAAUAUAAAGGGUUCCUUAGGCAAUUACUUAUUCAGUAGUAGGAUUUGGAACAGUCUACUUACUAUCAUGUAAUUAUUUCAAUGUGUUACAGUUUUCUUCUGAUUGUAAUUAAUCUCUUUGCAUGAGUAUCAGAUAGAAUGACUAUCUGAUUUGUGGUAACCUGCUGGACUCACAGUGUCCAGUCUGCAGGUGGAGAAAAAUAAAUAUUUUUAUAAGAAAAAUGAAGCCUUCACCUUACCAGAUAAUUUUCACUUUGUCUAAAACAAUACUUUUUUUAUGUUUGAUGUAAUUUUUCACUCAAUUAUAAAGAGUUUUCUCUUCAACAGGAGAACCAAAUCCUUAAUAAAAUCAUUGAGUUUAAGAAGUCUCAAGGGAGAGAUCACAGCUAAUGUCUACUAGUUUACUAGAGGUCCAAAAACAGUACUAUUCACUGGCAAAUACUCAGAAUAUAUUUUUGAUUCGGUUAGAAGUGGUCUGAGUGGUUGUAUGAACUUUAUUUCUAUUUCUACCCUCAUCUCCAACAAAUUCAGAUGACUGUAUAUUAAAUUUUAUCUUAUUAAACUUCAAAUAUUUUCCUGAUUUGAAAGUAAUUUUUGUCAUCUCCUCAUUUGAAGUCACAUAUAAUUCAUGAUUAACUGUGAAAAAGUUUGAAUUUGAAUACUUUCCAGUCCCUUCUUCAGAGCACUUUUGAAUGCUAGCCUCUUGAUCACUGCAGCUGCAAUUGUAAAUAUAUACUGAGCUACCAGAAUCACAGAUAGCACAAACUCUUUAUUUUUUAAGAACCUUAAAAUUCAUUAUAAUUUGCAGGUAAA